CGUCAGCCCAGGCCAGGGCUAGGAAAACACGUCAACUAGCCAGCCCAGCUGGCCUAGUUACCAAUAACCUGAGGGAAGAAAGUUAAAACAGCAUUUAAGCAAGUCCACCGUUCUUCUGUAAAGGCACUCUGUAUGCAUUAUUAAAUACUAAACUUGAGCAAGUUUGUAAUGAAGAAGAUGUAGUUGCCAGAAGAGAUGACAACGAUGAGGACGACAGCAAUUAUUAUGUGAAUGCGUUUGAUUUGUAGCACAUCCUCUUUAUUGGUUCUGAUACAACUUUCUACUCAGCAAAUGGUUCCAUUUUGACAGAACGGCUAUGAAUUUCCUCUGUCAAGGCUUGAUUCAGAGACAGUGUAGCCAUCUGCUUUUCUGAAUAUCCUAGAUUUUUAAGUGUGCACUAUGGAGUUUUUGUACACUGGGCCUCUUGUUUAUUUUUGAUAUUUGUUUGAAAUUUUUUUUAAUCAAUUGAACUUGCCCAAUACUGAAUAGAUGAUAUGGAACUUGAUCUUUUAUUAACUGUACUUACAGAAAUAGUAUAGAAUUGUCAGCACUUGACUCUAACUUGAUUUUAGUUUAUUUUUUUUUUUAUAUUGAUUAUUGUAAAUCCUUUUGUCCUAUAUUAAAAUGGAGCUUUUGCUAAACUACAGUAUAACAAAGUACAGUACAGGACGCAUUAAACAUUAAAGUAUAAACACAUAACGCUACAUAAGUGUAAGUAAUUUUGUAUUGUUAUCCUCUUUUGUCCCGGAGCAUCAAAGUUAACACGAUGUAGUUGGAAUCAUACAUGUGACCAGAGGCCGACCUAAGGAUAUCUACGGUUCAGUGUACAGCGUUUGUUCAAGUUUUGAAAACGCCUUGGAACACCGAUCAAACUCAAAAAGUUUUACCGUUAUUUUGAUGUUUUUAAAAAUAACUCUAGUUACAUUGACUUUGGUAUUGUAACACAUUUUAAGAAUGUUUUAAAAACGUUUAAAAAUAUUAAAAUAACGUUAUAAUGACGUUUCUGAAUGUUAAAUUGAAACGUUAUUAAAAUGCUUUAAAAACUCCACAUAAAUACGUUUUUAAAACGUAAUAUUAUAACGUUUUACAAACGUAAUAAAAACCCUUUCGUAAACGUUUUUAAAACGUGAUACAAGACCAAAGUCGAUGUAACCAAGGUUAGUUUUACGUUAUAAUAACGUUUUUAAAACGUUACAUUAAAACGUUAUUAAAAUGCUAUCAAAACUCCACAAAAUUAUGUUUUCGAAAUGUUUUAAUAAAACGUUUUUUGAACCAAA